CCUACGGGAGGCAGCAGUGGGGAAUAUUGGGCAAUGGGCGCAAGCCUGACCCAGCAACGCCGCGUGAAGGAAGAAGGCCCUCGGGUUGUAAACUUCUUUUUUCAGGGACGUAGCCAGUGACGGUACCUGACGGAUAAGCCACGGCUAACUACGUGCCAGCAGCCGCGGUAAUACGUAGGCGGCAAGCGUAAUCCGGAUUUACGGGGUGUAAAGGGCGAGUAGGCGGGGAAGCAAGUGAGAUGUGAAAUUCCAGGCCUCAACCCUGGAAUGGCAUUUGAAACUGUUUUUCUUGGGAGAUGGAGGGGCAGGGGGAAUUCCGGGGGUGGCGGUGAAAUGCGAAGGUAUACGGAGGAACACCAGUGGCGAGGGCGGCCUGCUGGACAUUAACUGACGCUGAGGCGCGAAGGCGUGGGGAGCAAACAGGAUUAGAUACCCCAGUAGUC
rnacentral:rRNA from 1 species